UAGCUGACUGCGGAGGGACAUUACACAAAUAUGAAGGCGGGCUGGAACCUCUCGGGGUUACAGCCUUGCUGAAUUAUUCACCCUUGUCUUUUGCGUACUUCUUGUUUCCUUGGUGGGUUCGCCCACCACUAGGACAAACAUAAACCUUUUGUAAUUGCAAUCAGCGUCAGUAACAAAUUAAUAAUUACAACUUUCAACAACGGAUCUCUUGGUUCUGGCAUCGAUGAAGAACGCAGCGAAAUGCGAUAAGUAGUGUGAAUUGCAGAAUUCAGUGAAUCAUCGAAUCUUUGAACGCACAUUGCGCCCUUUGGUAUUCCAAAGGGCAUGCCUGUUCGAGCGUCAUUUGUACCCUCAAGCUUUGCUUGGUGUUGGGCGUCUUGUCUCUAGCUUUGCUGGAGACUCGCCUUAAAGUAAUUGGCAGCCGGCCUACUGGUUUCGGAGCGCAGCACAAGUCGCACUCUCUAUCAGCAAAGGUCUAGCAUCCAUUAAGCCUUUUUUUCAACUUUUGACCUCGGAUCAGGUAGGGAUACCCGCUGAACUUAAGCAUAUAAA
rnacentral:rRNA from 1 species